CUACGGGGGGCUCCAGUGGGGAAUUUUGGACAAUGGGGGCAACCCUGAUCCAGCCAUGCCGCGUGAGUGAAGAAGGCCUUCGGGUUGUAAAGCUCUUUCGGUGGGGAAGAAAUGGCGCUUUCUAAUACAGAGCGUUGAUGACGGUACCCGCAUAAGAAGCACCGGCUAACUACGUGCCAGCAGCCGCGGUAAUACGUAGGGUGCGAGCGUUAAUCGGAAUUACUGGGCGUAAAGCGUGCGCAGGCGGUUUUGUAAGUCAGAUGUGAAAUCCCCGGGCUCAACCUGGGAACUGCAUUUGAGACUGCAAGGCUAGAGUGUAGCAGAGGGGGGUAGAAUUCCACGUGUAGCAGUGAAAUGCGUAGAGAUGUGGAGGAAUACCGAUGGCGAAGGCAGCCCCCUGGGCUAUUACUGACGCUCAUGCACGAAAGCGUGGGGAGCAAACAGGAUUAGAUACCCUGGUAGUC
rnacentral:rRNA from 1 species